GACGAACGCUGGCGGCGUGCUUAACACAUGCAAGUCGAACGAAGAGCGAUGGAAGCUUGCUUCUAUCAAUCUUAGUGGCGAACGGGUGAGUAACGCGUAAUCAACCUGCCCUUCAGAGGGGGACAACAGUUGGAAACGACUGCUAAUACCGCAUACGAUCUAACCUCGGCAUCGAGGAUGGAUGAAAGGUGGCCUCUAUUUAUAAGCUAUCACUGAAGGAGGGGAUUGCGUCUGAUUAGCUAGUUGGAGGGGUAACGGCCCACCAAGGCGAUGAUCAGUAGCCGGUCUGAGAGGAUGAACGGCCACAUUGGGACUGAGACACGGCCCAGACUCCUACGGGAGGCAGCAGUGGGGAAUCUUCCGCAAUGGACGAAAGUCUGACGGAGCAACGCCGCGUGAGUGAUGACGGC
rnacentral:rRNA from 1 species